CCUACGGGUGGCAGCAGUCGAGAAUCAUUCACAAUGGGGGAAACCCUGAUGGAGCGACGCCGCGUGGGGGAAUGAAGGUCUUCGGAUUGUAAACCCCGGUCAUGGGGGAGCAAAUUAAAAAGAUAGUACCACAAGAGGAAGAGACGGCUAACGCGGGGCCAGCAGCCGCGGAAAUACAGAGGUCUCAAGCGUUGUUCGGAAUCACUGGGCGUCAAGCGUGCGGAGGCUGUUUCGUAAGUCGUGUGUGAAAGGCGCGGGCUCACCCCGCGGACGGCACCUGAUACUGCGAGCCUAGAGUACUGGAGGGGGAACCGGAAUUCUCGUUGUAGCCGU
rnacentral:rRNA from 1 species